UACAGAGGUCUCAAGCGUUGUUUCGGAUUCAUUGGGCGUAAAGGGCGCGUAGGCUGCGGGGCAAGUCGGGGUGUGAAAUCUCAGAGCUCAACUCUGAAACUGCACUCGAUACUGCUUUGCUUGAGGACUGGAGAGGAGAUUGGAAUUCACGGUGUAGCAGUGAAAUGCGUAGAUAUCGUGAGGAAGACCAGUGGCGAAGGCGGAUCUCGUGGACAGUUCCUGACGCUGGAGGCGCGGAAGGCCAGGGGAGCAAACGGG
rnacentral:rRNA from 1 species